UUGCUGUCUCCAUUCCCAUCACCUAUAUCUGGCAUUUCUCCCAAUGUUACCCCUCUCCAACUCCCUACCCCCCACUGUCCCUUCCCUAGUCCCCCACAACAGACCCCAGUGUGUGAUGCUCCCCUCCCUGUGUCCAUGUGUUCUCAUACUUCAACACCUGCCUAUGAGUGAGAACAUGUGGUGUUUGAUGUUCUGUUCUUGUGUCAGUUUUCUGAGAAUGAUGGUUUCCAGGCUCAUCCAUGUCCCUACAAAGGACACAAACUCAUCAUUUUUUAUGACUGCGUAGUAUUCCAUGGUGUAUACGUGCCACAUUUUUCCUGUCCAGUCUAUCAUCGAUGGUCAUUUGGGUUGGUUUCAAGUCUUUGCUAUUGUAAACAGUGCUGCAAUGAACAUACAUGAGCAUGUGUCCUUAUAGUAGAACAAUUUAUAAUCCUUUGCACAUUGAUUUUGUAUCCUGAGACUUUGCUUUUCAGUUUAAGGAGAUUUUGGGCUGAGACGAAGGGGUCCUCUAGAUAUACAAUCAUGCCGUCUGCAAAUAGACAAUUCGACUUCCUCCUUUCCUAUUUGAAUACGCUUUAUUUCUUUUUCUUGCCUGAUUGCUCUGGCUAGAACUUCCAGUACUAUAUUGAAUAGGAGUGGUGAGAGAGGGCAUUCUUGUCUAGUGCCAGAUUUCAAUGGGAGUGCUUCCAGUUUUUACCCAUUCAGUAUGAUAUUGGCUGUGGGUUUCUUGUAAAUAGCUUUUAUUAUUUUAAGAUAUGUUCUGUUGAUACCUAGUUUAUUGAGAGUUUUUAGCAUAAAGCACUGUUGAAUUUUGUCAAUUGCCUUCUCUGCAUCUAUUGAGAUAAUCAUGUGGUUUUUGUCUUUGGUUCUGGUUAUGUGGUGAAUUACAUUUAUAGACUUGCGUAUGUUGAACCAGCCUUGCAUCCCCAGGAUGAAUCCCGCUUGAUCAUGAUGGAUAAGCUUUUUGAUGUGCUGUUGCAAUUGGUUUGCCAGUAUUUUAUUGAAGAUUUUUGUAUCUAUGUUCAUCAUUGAUAUUGGACUGAAAUUUUCUUUCCUUGUUGAGUCUCUGCUGGGUUUUGGUAUCAGGAUGAUGUUGGUUUCAUAAAAAGAUUUGGGAAAGAGUCCCUCUUUUUGGAUUGUUAGGAAUAGUUUCAGAAGGAAUGGUACCAGCUUCUCUUUGUAUGUCUGGUAGAAUUUGGCUGUGAACCCAUCUGGACCUGGACUUUUUUUGGUUGGUAGGCUAUUAAUUGCUGCCUCAACUUCAGCCCAUGUUAUUGGUCUAUUCAGGGUUUCAGCUUCUUCCUGGUUUAGGCUUGGGAGUGUGCAAGUGUCCAGGAAUUUAUCAAUUUCUUCCAGGUUUACUGGUUUAUGUGAAUAGAGUUGUUUGUAGUAAUAAUCUCUGAUGGUGCUUUUAUUUCUGUGGAAUCUGUGGUGAUAUCCCCUUUAUCAUUUUUUAUUGAAUCUAUUUGAUUAUUCUCUCUUUUCUUUUUUAUUAAUCUGGCUAGCAGUCUGUCUAUUUUGUUGAUCUUUAAAAAAAAACAGCUCCUAGAUUUAUUGAUUUUUUGAAGUGUUUUUUGUGUCUCUAUCUCCUUCAGUUCUGCUCUGAUCUUAAUUAUUUCUUGUCUUGUGCUGGGUUUUGAGUUUUUUUUUAAUCUUUCUCCUCUAGCUCUUUCAAUUUUGAUGAUAGGGUGUCAAUUUUGGAUCUCUCCACUCUUCUCAUGUGGGCACUUAUUGCUAUAUAUUUUCCUCUAGAGACUGCUUUAAAUGUGUCCCAGAGAUUCUGGUACGUUGUGUCUUCGUUCUUGUUGGUUUCGAAGAACAUCUUUAUUUCUGCCUUCAUUUCAUUGUUUAUCCAGUCAACAUUCAAGAGCCAGUUGUUCAGUUUUCAUGAAGCUGUGUGGUUCUGGGUUAGUUUCUGAAUUCUGAGUUCUAAUUUGAUUACACUGUGGUCUGAGAGACUGUUUGUUAUGACUUCAGUUGUUUUGCAUUUGCUGAGUAGUGAUUUACUUCCAAUUAUGUGGUCAAUUUUAGAGUAGGUGUGAUGUGGUGCUAAGAAGAACGUAUAUUCUGUGGAUUUGGGGUGGAGAGUUCUGUAAAUGUCUAUUAGGUUUGCUUGGUCCAGUUAUGAGUUCAAGUCCUGGAUAUCCUUGUUAAUUUUCUGUCUCAUUGAUCUGUCUAAUAUUGACAGUGGAGUGUUAAAGUCUCCCACUAUUAUUAUGUGGGAAUCUAAAUCUCUUUGUAGGUCAUUAAGAACUUGCCUUAUGUAUCUGGGUGCUCCUAUAUUGGGCAUGUAUAUAUUUAGGAUCAUUAGCUCUUCUUGAUGCAUUGAUCAUUUUACCAUUAUGUAAUACCCUUCUUUGUCUCUUUUGAUCUUUGUUGGUUUAAAGUCCAUUUUAUCAGAGACUAGGAUUGCAACUCCUGCUUUUUGUUGCUCUCCAUUUGCUUGGUAGAUCUUUCUCCACCCCUUUAUUUUGAGCCUAUGUGUAUCCUUGCAUGUGAGAUUGGUUUCCUGGAUACAGCACACCGAUGGAUUUUGACUUUUUAUCCAAUUUGCUAGUCUGUGUCUUUUGAUUGGAGCAUUUAACCCAUUUAUAUUUAAGGUUAAUUUUGUCAUGUGUGAAUUUGAUCCUGCUAUUUUGAUGCUGCUGGUUGUUUUGCCCAUUAGUUGACACAGUUUCUUCAUUAUCUUGAUGCUCUUUACCAUUUGGUAUGUUUUUGGAGUGGCUGGUACUGGUUGUUCCUUUCUAUGUUUAGUGCUUCUUUCAGGAGCUCAUGUAAGACAGGCCUGGUGGUGAUGAAAUCUCUGCACAAUUGCUUGUUCAUAAAGGAUUUUAUUUCUCCUUUGCUUAUGAAGCUUAGUUUGGCUGGAUAUGAAGUUCUAGGUUGAAAGUUCUUUUCUUUAAGGAUGUUGAAAAUUGGUCCCCACUCUCUUCUAGCUUGUAGGGUUUCUGCUGAGAGAUCCACUGUGAGUCUGAUGGGCUUCUCUUUAUGGGUAACCCAAUCUUUCUCUCUGGCUGUACUUAGCAUUUUUUCCUUCAUUUCAACCUUGGUGAAUCUGAUGAUUAUGUGCCUUGGGGUUGCUCUUCUUGAGGAAUAUCUUUGUGGUGUUCUCUGUAUUUCCUGGGCUUAAAUGUUGGCCUGCCUUGCUAGGUUGGGGAAGUUCUCCUGGUUAAUAUCCUGAAGAGUGUUUUCCAGCUUGGAUUCAUUGUCUUUAUCACAUUCAGGUGCACCUAUCAAAUGUAGAUUAGGUCUUUUCACAUAAGCUCAUAUUUCUUGGAGGCUUUGUUCAUUUCUUUUUACUCCUUUUUCUCUAAUCUUGCCUUCUCGUUUUAUUUCAUUGAGUUGAUCUUCAAUCUCUGAUAUCCUUUCUUCUGCUUAGUCGAUUCAGGUACUGAAACAUGUAUAUGCUUUGUGAAGUUCUUGUGUUGUGUUUUUCAGCUCCAUCAAUUCAUUUAUAUUCCUCUCUAAGCUGUUUAUUCUUGUUAGCAUUUCAUCAAACCUUUUUUCAAGGUUCUUAGUUAUUUUACAUUGGGUUAGAACAUGAUCUUUUAGCUCAGAGAAGUUUGUUAUUAUCCACCUUCUGAAGCCUGUUUCUGUCAAUUCAUCAGACUCAUUCUCGGUCCAGCCUUGUUCCCUUGCUGGUGAGGAGUUGUGAUCCCUUGGAGGAGGAGAGGCGUUCUGGUUUUGGGUAUUUUCAUCCUUUUUGCCCUGGUUUCUUCCCAUCUUUGUGGCUUUAUCUACUUGUGGUCUUUGUGGUUGGUGACUUUCAGAUGGGGUCUCUGAGUGGACAUCCUUUUUGUUGAUCAUGAAGUUAUUUCUUUCGGUUUCUUAGUUUUCCUUCUAACAGUCAGGCCCCCCACUGCUUGUAAGACUGCUGGAGGUCCACUCCAGAUGCUGCUUGCCUGGGGAUCACCUGCAGCAGCUGCAGAAAAGUAAGGGUUGCUGCCAGUUUCUUCUUCUGUUAUCUUUGUCCCAGAAGGACACCUGCCAGAUGUCAGCCUUAGCUCUCCUUUAUGAGGUGUCUCUUUGGUUAUAUGUGGGUCAGGGAGCUGUUUGGGGAGACAGUCUGUCCCUUCUAGGAACUCAAGUGCUGAGCUGUGAGCUCUGUUGCUUGUUCAGAGCUGCACAGCAGGUACAUUUAAGUUGGAACUCAUAACUGCUUUUUUUUUCUGGUCCAGUUAAGGUGGGGCUUUAUUUAUAAGUUCCUGUCAUUCUGCUGCCUUUUUUCAGAGAUACCCUGUCCAUUGAGGAGGUAGCCUAGUGUGGGGAACCCAACUGUGUGAAUAUUUGCAAAGAGAAUUCCACAAUACAGAUGGUUUUGAGCCCAGACACAGGGACACCUGAAAGAGGGAAGUUGAGAUAACAUUGAAUCAGGGACAGACAAAGGAGAAUCUCUUUAAAAGAUAAUCAGAUGGUUGAAACCAGAAACACCUGCAGUCAUGAGGAACAAUGUCUGGAUAAGUUUUGUGAUCACAAGGGAUUUCCAUUACCUUUUAUGACAUUGAUUAUGUACCUGUCAUCUUUAUUGUGUAGGGCAUGUGAUGUAUCUAUCUGCUUUUCCCCUUGCAAUACGUAAACCAGAGCCUGGAAAAAUGUAUAUAAUUGAAGACUUUGAGAAAUAAAGCUGUUGUUGGAGCACUAACUCCUCAACCCUCCUGACCCCACUUCACUGUCUCCUUUUCUUCCUGUGCACCCUCCACUCUGGUUGGAAUCCUCUUGCUGGACAAGAAUUCCCUCCAGAGCCUAGUCACAGUCUGCCAGCAGAGGCAUUGCUGAGCUGCCAUGGGCUCUGCCCAGCUACUGUGAACUUCCUUGCAGUUUUGUUUAUCAGGGUAUGGUUAGAACUGCCUCAGUAAUGGCAUUCUGCCUCAGUAAUGGUGGACUCUCUCUGCAAUGGCAGACUGCCUCGGUAAUGGUGAACUACCUCGGUAAUGGUGAACUACCUCGGUAAUGGUGGACUGCCUCAAUAAUGGCAGACUGCCUCAGUAGUGGUGGAUUGCCUCUGUAAUGGUGGACCCCCAUUCUCCCACAGAGCUGAACCGUCCUGUAUCCAGCUGUGCUUGCUGUGAAACUCUCAAUCCAGAGUAUGUCAGAUUGCUGGUCUUUGUGGGGGUGAGACCAGCUGAACUAGAUCACCUGGCUCCCGGUUUUAGCCCCCUUUUUUUCAGUUGAACGGGCAACUCUGUCUCCCAGGCAUUCUAGUCGCCAGUCGAAAUGGUGCCCAGAUUUGUGUGAGUUUUUGUGCAGAGACUCGCUGCACCAGCUGAAACAGCCAUGCUGGAGACUUGUGGUGCUUUUCUGCCCAGGAAUCUCCUGGUCUCUGGGCAGUAAAAAUUUGUUUGGAAAUGCGGUGAUCAUUUACCCUCUGCAUUUUCACUGGGAACUGAAAUCCAGAGCUAUUCCUAUUUGGCCAUCUUGGAUCCUCUUAUUUCUUAAAUUGACUUGUCACAUACUAGUUCAUUUAAUUGAUCUUUACAAUAAACCAGUAUCUGGUUUUAUUGAUUAAAUCUAUUAUUUUUCUUUUCUUUUCUUUUUUCUUUUGAGGCAGCGUUUCACUCUGUUGCCCAGGCUAGAGUGCAAUGGCAAGAUCUUGGUUCACUGCAGCCUGAACCUCCCAGGCUCAAGCAAUUCUCCUGCCUCAGACUCCCAAGUAGCUGGGAUUACAGGUGCAUGCUACCACACCUGGCUAAUUUUUGUAUUUUUAGUAGAGAUGGGGUUUCACCAUGUUGGCCAGGCUGGUCUUAAAUGCCUAACCUCAAAUGAUCCACCUGUCUUGGCCUCCAAAGUGCUGGGGUUACAGGCAUGAGCCACCAUGCCCGGCCUGUUUUUAUUUUUCUUUUAUUGAUUUCCUGUUAUUACUAGCCUGAUUUUUAUCUUUGAGGUUUUUUUUUCCAUAGCUUCUUGAGUUAAAAGCCUCUUGUAUUUUCAGUCUUUCUGGUUUUCCAAUAAAUGAAUUUAACAUCAUAAAAUUUCAUCCAAAUUCUCCUUUGUUUGCAUCCCACAUAUUUAUAAUGUCAUCCAUUUCUAAUAGCCUGUAUUUUUAAUUUUAUGUUUUCUGUCAUUGAAUAGUUACUUAGAAGCAUGUUUUAAAUUUUUCAUAGGUAUAAUACCCUCCUCUCACUAUCCUGUUAAUUUUUUCACUGAUUUUAUGAUGCUGUGGCCAGACAUUCUCUGGUCCACAUGAUUUCUGCUUUUCAGGAAUCCUUUUGUUCCUCUGAAAUUCUUGCACAUGGUUAAUCUACUUUUAUUUAGAUGUUGUGUAGUCACACUUAUUUAAUCUCUCAAUUUCUGAGAAAAGUGUAUUCAUGUAAUUACUAAGGUUGUGGAUUUGUUUCUUUUCUUUUUUUUUUUUUUUGAGAUGGAGUCUUGCUCUGUUGCCUAGGCUGGAGUGCAGUGGUGUGAUCUCUGCUCACUGCAACCUCCACCUCCUGGGUUCAAGUGAUUCUCCUACCUCAGCCUCCCUAGUAGCUGGGAUUACAGGUGUGUGCCACCACACCUGGUUAAUUUUGUAUUUUUAGUAGAGACAGGGUUUUGCCAUGUUGGCCAGGCUGGCCAACUCCUGACCUCCAGUGAUCUACCCACCUCGGCCUCCCAAAGUGCUGGGAUUAGAGGUGUGAGCCACCAUGCCCAGCUCCUGUUAGUUUCUUUUAUUUCUACAAGUUUUCACUUAUUGCAUGUGUCAUAUGUAUAUACCUAUAUGUACAUAUAUAUUACUCUAUGUAUAUAUGUACUAUAUGUAUACACACAUAUGUAUAUAUUCAUAUAUAUCCACAUUUUAUACAUAUAUGUAUAUAUAUGCUUCUGUGUAUAUAUAUAUGGUAUAUGGCAUGUAUAUAUGUAUAUGGUAUAUAUGUAUAUAUGGUGGAUGUAGUUUGCCUCUGUGUCCCCACCCAAAUCUCAUUUCCAAUUGUAAUGCCCACGUGUUUGGGAAUGGGCCUGGUGAGAGGUGAUUGAAUCAUGCGGGCAGAUUUCCCCUUGCCCUUCUCAUGAUAGUGAGUGAGUUCUCACAGGCUGUUUGAAAAUGUGUGGCACUUCCCCCCAUUGCUCAAGCUCUCUCCUGCUCCAUGGUAAGACAUGCUUGCUUUCCUUUCACCUUCUACCACGAUUGUAAGUUUCCUGACACCUCCUUAGCCAUGCUGAACUGUGAGUCAAUUAAACCUCUUUUCUUCACGAAUUACCCACUCUCAGGUAGUUCUUUAUAACCCUGUGAAAACAGACUAAUACGAAUUAUGGUACCCAGAGUGGAGUACUGCUAUAAAGAUAUUUGAAAUUGUGGAGGUAACUUUGGAACUGGGUAAUGGGCAAAGGUUGCAAUAAUUUGGAGGGCUCAGAAAAAGAUAAAAAGAUAUAGGAAAGUUUGGUAUUUCCUAGAGGCUCAUUGAAUGGUUUUGACCAAAAUGCUGACAGUGAUAUGGAUAAUGAAGUUCAGGCUGAGGUGGUGUCAGAUGGUGAUAAGGAACUUAUUCAGAACUGGAGAUCAGGUUACUUUUGUUAUGCUUUAGUAAAGAGCCUGGUGGCAUUAUGCCUCUGCCCUAGAGAUCUGUAGAACUUUGAACUUGAGAGAGAUGAUUUAGGGUAUCUGGCAGAAGAAAAUUCCUAGACAGCAAAGCAUUCAGGAAGUAACCUGGCUGCUCCUAACAGCAUACAGUCAUAUAGGUUCACAAAGAGAUGGUUUGAAAUUGGAACUUUUGUUUAAAAGGGAAGCAAAGCAUAAUACAUUUGGAAAAUUUGCAGCCUAUGCAAUGUGGUAGAAAAGAAAAAUCCAUUUUCUGGGGGGAAAUUUGAGUCAGCUGUAGAAAUUUGCAUAAGAGAAGCCAAAUGUUAAUAGCCAGGACAAUGGGGAAAAUGUCUCCAGGGCAUUUCAGAGAGCUUCAUGGCAGCCCCUCCUGUCAUGGGUCCAGAGGCCUAGAAGGAAAAAAUGAUUUCAUGGCCUGGGCCCAGGAUCCCAAUGCUCUGUGUAGCCUUGGGGCAUGGCACCCUGUAUCCCAGCUGUUCCAGCUCCAUCUGUGGCUAAAAGAGGCUAAGGUGCAGCUUGGUCUCUAGCUUCAGGGGGUAUAGGCCCCAAGCCUUGGUGGUUUCUUUCUUUCCCUCCUUCCUUAUUUCUUUCUUAUUGAGAUGGAGUCUUGCUCUGUCACCCAGGUUGGAGUGCAGUGACGUGAUCUUGGCUCACUGAAACCUCUGCCUCCUGGGUUCAAAUGAUUCACCUGCCUCAGCCUCCCAAGUAGCUGGGAUUACAUGUGCCUGCCACCAUGGAUGGCUAACUUUUGUAUUUUUAGUAGAGACUGGGUUUCACCAUCAUGGCCAGGCUGGUCUUGAACUCCUGACCUUGUGAUCCACCCACCUCGGCCUCCCAAAGUCCUGGGAUUACAGGUGUGAGCCACUGUGCCUGGCCAGCAUUGAUGGUUUCUAUGUGAUGUUGGGCCUGCAGGUGAGCAGAAGGUAAGGAUUGAGGCUUGGAAAUCUCUGUGUAGAUUUUAGAGGAUGUAUGGAAAUGUCUGGAUGCCCAGGCAGAAGUCUGCUGCAGGGACAGAGCCCUCAUAGAUAACCUUGAGGGGAAAUGUGGGACUGGAACCCCUACACAAAGUUCCCACUGGGGCAAUGUCUGGUGGAGCUGUGAGAAGAAUGACACUGUCCUCCAGACCACAGAAUGGUAGAUCCACCAAACAGCUUGUACCAUGUGCCUAGAAAAGCCACAGGCACUCAAUACCAGCCUGCGAAGGCAGCCAAGGGGGCUGUACCCUGCAGAGCCACAAGGGUGGAGCUGCAUAGUGUCUUGGGAGUCCACCCCUUGCAUCAGCAUGUCCUGGAUGUGAUACAUGGAGUCAAAGGAGAUGAAUUUGGAGCUUUAAGAUUUAAUGACUACCCUGCUGGAUUUCAGACUUAUAUGGGGCACAUAGCCUGUUUGUUUUGGUCAAUUUCUCCCUUUUGGAAUAGGUGCAUUUAGCCAAUGCCUGCACCCAAGUCUAUCUUGGAAGUAACUAACUUGCUUUUGAUUUACAGGCUCAUAGGCAGAGGGGACUUGCCUUGUCUCAGAUGAGACUUUGUACUUGAACUUUUAAAUUAAUGUUGGAAUGAGACUUUUUAGAGGACUGAUGGGAAGGCAUAAUUCAUUUUGAAUGUGACAAGGACAUGAGAUUUGGGAGGGGCAAGGGGCAGAAUGAUAUGGUUUGGCUCUGUGUCACCACCCAAAUCUCAUCUUGAUUGUAAUCUCCAUGUGUCAGGGGAGGGGCCUUGUAGGAGGAGAUUGCGUCAUGGGGGUGAAUUUCCUCCUUGCUGUUCUCACGAUAGUGACUGAGUUCUCACAAGAUUUAAUCAUUUGAAAGUGUGUGGCACUUCCCCCUUUGUUCUCUCUCUCUCUCUCUCUCGUUCUGCCAUGGUAAGAUGUGCCUGCUUCCCAUUUGUCUUCUGCCAUGAUUGCAAGUUGCCUGAGGGCUCCUUGCCAUGCUUUCUGUUAAGCCUGGGGAACUGUGACUCAAUUAAACCUCUUUUAUUCAGUCUCAGGUAGUUCUUUAUAGCAGUAUGAAAAUGGACUAACACAGUGGUAUAUAUAUGUAUAUGAUAUAAACACAUAUAUGUAUAAAAUGUAAAAAUUUGUGUGUGUGUGUGUGUGUGUGUGUGUGUGUGUGUGUGUAUGCUAGGUGCUUAACUGCUCAUUAUUGUUUUAUCUUUUUGGGAGAUUGUAACUUUUUCUCCAUAGGUAAAUAUCCAUUAAGAAUUAUUUAGACUUCAUUCUAAAUGGCUGUUCUGUUUUGGGUUCUGCUGAAGUUAAAUAAAACGUGUAGUGACAAAUCUCUAAAUUUAAUGUUUUACUUGGGAUACAAGCAUUGCAACUUGGGGCAUACACACAGGUGGGUGUCUGCCCAUUCAGCAUGUCUGAGGAAUAAAAAGGAGGUUGCAGUUUUUAUAAAAAGGAGAAAUAUUGUGUGUUGCUCUUUGAGAAAGCUCAUCGGCACUAGCAAAGUUAGGGGCAGCUGGAAAGCUCUGAUUGGUGAGUGACAGUGGCAGUCAUUAGUCUUAGAGUUGUAGCAGGUUGUGUCAGUAGCAGUUAGAUAGAACUAUCUCAGGCUAUAGCAGGCAACCUCAGCAGCCAAGCAUUCAGAAAAGUAUGUUCUUGGAGCAAUGUCAUGUGCCCUGAGUGCAUUUUCCUCUGGCUUAUCGAUUUAUUUUAAUUGGUUAUGACAAGAGUGACCUAAUUCAUAUGACCAACUUUCACAACUCCCCCUUUUGAUCAAGAUCUUUCUCUGAAGCAGCACUGAUCAACCCUUUUGAAGUUAGGCUUAAUGUUCCUUCAGUGCCAGGGUGGAUCUGUCACAGUUGUCUCUGUCCCAUGUCAGUGUUAAGAUAGGGAGGGCUAUAUAAAGGUCCUAGACCACAUUUGAGUAACAAAAAGGCCAGAAGGAAAAAUCUUCUCAGGACAGGUUUGUUUGGAAUCCAACAUCAAGUUCCAUAUGGUCAGUUCCAAAGGCAUCAGCAAUCAUCUUGAAGCCCUGGGCCAAUAUCCUACUAAGAAAGUUGGCUUUACAAGGGUUAGACAGGCUAUAAGAACAAAGCUUUAAAACUAUGCUACAAAAAUAAUCAGCAACUAUAUGAUGAAUCCACUUUGUAUAACAGUUCAAAGUCAUGAGUCUAAUUUUGAAGGUAACCAACUGAAAAGAUAAAAAUUCCAGACAUAUCUGGUGAGACUUGCUGUAGCUACUGAGUAGCAUUUUAUGGCUGGGUUGAAUCAAUGUGGAGAAUGCCAAUAUUACCAAAGAGACCACCAAUACAAUUAGAACAAAAAGUUAUGUUAGGGAUAUUUUCAAAGUUUCCCACUAUAUGAACGAAAAUAAUUUUUUUUUUUGAGACAGUGUCUUAGUCUUGCUCAGUCACACAGACUGGGGUGCAAUGGUGCAAGCUCGGCUCACUGCAACCUCCACCUCCUGGGUUCAAGCAAUUCUUGUGCCUCAGCUUCCCAAGUAGCUGGGAUUACAGGUGUGUACCACCACACCCAGCUAACUUUUGUGUUUUAGUGGAGAAGGGGUCUCGAACUCCUGGCCUCAAGUGAUCUGCCUGCCUUGGCCUCCUAAACUGCUGGGAUUAUAGAAAUGAGCCACUGCAUCCAGCGUAAUAAUUUUUUAGGUCAGAUUUUGUCAAGUUACCAGCAGAAGCUACUGAUUGUGAAAUUUUAAUUAUACCAUUAUCCUGUCAAGUGAAAAAGAUAGUAUGAAGGUGGAUAAAAGUCUCAUUAUUAUAGAGAGUCUUGUUCUGAAGUCUUAGGAAAAAGUGUUUACAGUGUGGAAAAUGUCAACUUUUCACUCUGAUUUGCAGUUUGAAUGUCUCUUGUUACAUGGCAUUGGCAGUGUGGUGAACUUUCUCUGUGGCUCAUACAUCAAGCAUGACACUCGUUCCCUAAAUUCAUCUAGUUUUAGCUGAUAGGAGAUGUUCCCAUUUUACUGCCUUUAUGGAAGAAAGUGAGAACAGAGGAAUGUAGCAGAAUUUCGAAAUGUACAGAGCUGCAAUCUAAUAACAGUUGUAUUAGAGCUCUCCUUUAGAGACAUGAUUUCCCCCCACCCACAUUGACCUUAUCGGAAUCUCAGAUUUAAAAACCUCUUGAAAUUAGGAAGCCAAACUGAGGCAAAGUUUAGAUUUUACUUACUGUCUUAGGGUUCCUGGGCCUGCCAGGAAGUGAGUGAUAGUUUUUAUUUACCUACUAUAAGACUGAGAACCAUUGAAGUCAGACAAUGUACGCAUAUUUUGUUUUUAUUUAUUUUUUUAGAGACAGAGGCUCACUCUGUCAGCUAGGAAGGAGUACAGUGGCACAAUUAUAGCUCACUGAAGCCUUGAAUUCCUGUGAUCAAGUGAUCCUCCCACCUCAGAAUCUGAAGUAGGCUUGAGUACAGUGACUUGAUCAUAGCUCACUGCAACCUUGAACUCCUGUGCUCAAGUGAUCCUUCUGCCUCAGCCUCCCAAGUCGCUGGAACUACAGGCAAACAUCAUCAUGUCCAGGUAUUUAAAAACAAUUUUUGUAGAGAUCUUGUCCAGGCUGCUCUUGAACUCCUGGGCUCAAGCAGUCUUCGUGUCUUGGCCUCCCAAAGCAUUGGGAUUACAGGCAUGAGCUACUGCAUCUCAUCCAUGUUUUAUUACAUAAGACACAACAUGCAACAUAAUACAUAUACAUAUGAAUAAACAACAUAUGAAUAAAAACCUAAAGAUUUUAUAGUUUUUAUUUUAGAAUUUUAAUCAUCAGAUAGGAAAACAUAUAAACUCACCAGUUUACAAAAGAUAUAUCCAAAUUAUUUUUCUAACAAAAUGCGAUAAGGCUCAAUGUUAAGAUUUUUAUUUUUAUUUUUUAUUUUUUUUGUAGAGAUGGGGACUUGCUAUAUUGCCCAGGCUGGUCUGAAACUCGUUGUCUCAAGUGAUUGUCACUUUAAGACUUUUAAAAAUAGGCAAUCUUAUAAAGGCUGUGACCAAAUUUAGGGCAAACGGUUUGAGCCAGUUACCAAUAUACUGAAUUGGAGAAAGAAUAGUUAACCGAGGAAAUGUGACUGAAUUAUGUAAGGAGGCCUACAAGAGAAGAAGGAUUCUAACAGUUUGUACAGCGUUUUCUUGGACUACAUUUCCUGUCCUUGAAGAUAAGAAUGUUGCCAGUCAUGUUAGUGCAGGGAAGGUGUCUUUUAGAUGGGAAUUUCAUGUUUUGCUAUUAAGAAACAGAAUGAAGGUCAAAGUGAUUUUCUUUCGCAUCUGCAGGGUUUUAAGUGUUUUUACUUAAAUAGUCAAUAUGCUAGAAUAGCUGAGGAAUUUUGAAAAAAAAAAAAGAGUUUAGCUUAGAGAAGGUAAAUUCUCUAAGAGGAGGAGUUGUAAGAAGAGAGAAAGACAGCUCUGGAAAGAGUCUCAGCUCGCUCCAACAUUAUUUCGUAACGGGAAUCUUCGAGUCCUGAAUAAUUUUUUUUAGCCUCAAGAUAUCAAUAAAAUAUGCAUAUUUUAUUUGGAGCGUGUGAUCCUAUAGCCAUAGGCUUUUAGGUUAGUUUUAAGAACAGCAGACUGUUUGAAUGAUCCCUACAAUAUUUGAACAUGUUACCAGCUGGAACCUCGGAAAAUAUCUUGGCAUGCCUUUGCAGUUUGAGAGCUCAUUUCAUGGGUUCUCUAGUUUAAUGCCAAAUACACAAAGCCAAUUAAAUUCAAGCACCGAAUGUGCAGAGGCCAAAUAAAUGCAAGAGCCGAUGGAAAAUAAAGUAUGGACUUCGCGGGGAGGACGCCAGGUCUUCUCCAGAUGAAGGAGAAAAAUCCCCUCAUCCAAACCUUGGAGCCGAUGGAAAAUAAAGUAUGGACUUCGCGGGGAGGACGCCAGGUCUUCUCCAGAUGAAGGAGAAAAAUCCCCUCAUCCAAACCUUGGAGCUGAGAUCAACAGGAGAAAAAUAACUUUCCCCUACAGGAGAUCUUUCAAAACAGGAGUGGGAGAAACCCUACCCAACCAAAUCACAAACAAAACGGAACUCAAACAAAAUCAAGGGGGAAAAGAGGCCACCUGCAGGGUUCAAAAGGCGCCACUGUGGGUACCCCGCACGCACGGCAGUUCCAAGAACCAGUAAUUCCUCCCGGGGUGAGUCAGCUUUGGGUUUUACUAACGGCACAGUGUAUGACAAAGUCAAAAAAAAAAAAAAUCAUGCAGAGAAAAAUCUCUAAUUUAACAUUUUAUUUGGGAUACAAGAAUUGCAGUUUGGGGCAUACACACAGACCAGGUGGUCUUUGGUAUGUCUGAGGAAUAGAGUUGAGGUUGGAGAUUUUACGAAAAGGAGAUGCGCUGUGUAUUACUUUGAUCACUGGCACUGGUUAAGUUUCGGAGAGCUGGCAAGUGCUGACUGCUGAGUGGCAGCAGUGGGUAAAACUAGUCUUCCAGGUGCAACCUGUUGUUUCAGAAGGUAUUGGGUAAAACUGGUUUCAGAUGACAGCGGGAAAUCCAGCAGCCAGGCAUGCGAAGUUAUAUUCUUGGAGCAACGUUCUGUGUCCUUAGAGCCUCCCCCGGGCUUGACUCUGGGUUAGCUGGGCAUGACAGGGAUGACCCCAUUCAUACGAUCGGCUUUCCCAGUUCCAUCUAUUAAUUCCGAAUGGGUGCCUCCUGGCUGGUUCCAUUUCUCGCGUGUCUGGAAUUACUUAUUCUCCUCCAUUAAAAAAAAUUAUUCCUUCUGGAAUUGCUAUUCCCAUUUCUUAUUUAAUUCCUGUUUUCCUUUCAGGCCUUGCUGUGUUACCCUGUUAUUUACUGUUCCGUAGACAUUUUAUGUUUUUUUCUUCUUCCACGUUGGUCCCGUAAUUCUUUAGGGCUCUAUCAAGGCUUCAAGUGGAUUUUUUUUUUUUUUUCUUUGAGACAGUCUCACUCUUGUCUCCCAGGCUGGAGUGCAACGAACGGCAGGAUCUUGACUCACUGCAAUUCUGCCUGCUGGGUUCAAGCGGUUCUCCUGCCUCGGCCUCCAGAGUAGCUAGGAUUACAGGCAUGCACCACCUCGCCCAGCUAAUUUUUUGUACUUUUAGUUGAGACUGUGUUUCUUCAUGUUGGUCAGGCUGGUCCUGACCUCAGGUGAUCCACCGGCCUCGGCCUUCCAAAGUGCUGAGAUUACAGGUGUGGGACACGCACCUGGCCAAUAGAUGUUUUAUGUUUCACCCAGCUUGGGAGUUGGAUAAUUAAUCUGCAUUGCCUAAUCCACUGUUAUCAGAAGCUAAUAACAACAACGACAAUAAUAAUUCUUUUCUGUUUAACCUAUCUUUUAUAUCUUCUCUUAUUUCUGCUCCAUAUUCUGGAAGAUUUCUCCAAUUAUAUUUUCUGUAUCCCCUGCUUAUUCUUUACCAUUACCCACUGUAAUACUGUAACUUGAAAUUAAAAAAAAUAAAUAAAUAGAGACAGGGUCUCACUCUUUUGCCCAGGCUGGAGUGCAAUGCUAUGAUCAUAGCUCACUGCAGCCUUCAACUCCUGCUUAAGCAACGCUUCCACCUCAGUCUCUCAAGCACCAUGGACUAGAGGUAUACACCAUCAUGCUCGGCCAAAUUUUUAUUUUUAAAUUUUUUGUAGAGACAGGGUUUCACUAUGUUGUCCAGGCUGAUCUAAAACUCUUGGCCUCAAGUGAUCUUUCCACCUUGACCUCCCAAAAUGUUACAGGCAUGAGCCCCUGCACCUGGCCAGCUUUUGCUUUUACUUUUUUUUUUUUUCCUUAAUGGAGUCUUGCUCUGUUACACAAGCUAGAGUGCAGUGGCUGCUCUCGGCUCACUGCAGCCUUUGUCCCCUGGGUUCAAGUGAUUUUCCUCCCUCAGCCUCCCGAGUAGCUGGGACUAGAGGCAUGAGCCACCAUGCCCACUAAUUUUUGUAUUUUUAGUAGACAGAGUUUCACCAUGUUGAUCAGGCUGGUCUUGAACCCCUGACCUCAAGUGAUCUGCCAGUCUCAGCCUCCCGAAGUGCUGGGAUUACAGGCAUGAGCCACCAUGCCUAGCAGCUUUUACAUUUUUAAUGAUGUAAAGGUAAAGGAGGAUUUAUGAUUAUAUAUUACAUUACAAAUGUAGUGAGAGAUUUAUUUGAGGAGUUUUGGGUAGAAAUCUGAUGAUGUUCCCUUGUAGGUGUUGGAAGUUAACAUGCUAUAUUUAUUCUCUGUUAAGAUCCUGCACCCACACUGUGCGUCUCCGCACACAGGUGGCUGACUUUUUCUGUGAGUUAAUCGAAGCAUAUUAGAGGUAGAGGAAGUAAUGUAUUAAACAGCAUAUGUCUUCCACCUAACUCAGACAUGUAAGUUUACACAUUUAAUGUGGUCAAAUUUAUUUAUAGUUUGUUCUCUUUUGUCUUACCUGCAAAAUAUUUUUUCCCAGGUUCAAAAAAAAAUCUUGAUAUUUAGAUAUUUUAUUGUCUUUUCUUCCUUUCCUUUCCUUCAUUUCUUUCUUUCCUUUCUUUUUCUCUUUUAUUUUCUUUCUUUCAGGGCUUACUACGUUGCCCAGUUUUUUACUGUUUCAUAUACAUUUUUGAAUCUCUGAUCAUAGUCUAUGAGAAACCCUGUUGAGAUUUUAACUACAACUGCUUUCGAUGUGCACAUACAUCGAGCAAACAUUCUAACAUAUAAUGUUGGUUAAUUUACUUUGGUCUUUAUUAAUUUUCCAGUUCCCCACCCCCCACCAAAAAACUGGUGCAUAUUUUGUUAGCUUUAUUCCUAGAGUCUUAUGUUUUGUCUUUUCAAAAUUAAUAAAUUUGGUCAGGAGUGGUUACUCAUGCCUAUAAUCCCAGCUCUUUGGGAGGCUGAGACAGGUGGAUUGCAUGAACUCAGGAGUUCAAGACCAGCGUGGGCAACAUGGCACAACCCCAUCUCUCACACACACACACACACACACACACACACACACACAGAGGCACGCAAUACAAAAAUUAGCCAGGUAUGGUGGCACACACCUGUAGUCGCAGCUACUUGUGAGGCUGAGCUGAGAGGAUGGCUUGAGCUGGGAGGCAGAGGCUGCGGUGAGCUGUGAUGGCACCACUGCACUCCAGCCUGGGUGAGAGCGAGGCUCUAUCUGCAAAAACAACAUCAACAUUAACAACAAAAUUAAUAAAGUUCAUCUUGAGGAACAUUUUUCGAUUUACAGAAAAAAUUAGUAUAGAGUUUCCAUGUAUGCCCCUAUAAAUAAUUUUCCCUAUUAUUAACAUUAUACUAAUAUAUAUGGUACAUUGGUUAAAAUUAAUACACCAAUAUUGAUACAUUAUCAUCAGCUAAAAUCCAUAGUUUAUUCGGAUUUCCACAGUUUUUACCUAACGCAUUUUUUGUGUUUCAGGGUUCCAUCAGGAUUCAUUUUGUCCUCAUGUCUCCUUAGGAUCUUUCUGGCUGUGAUAAUUUCUCCAAUUUUUGUUUUUGAUGACCUGGAGAGUUUUGAGGAGUACUAUGAGGUAUAUUGUAGGAUGCCCUCUAUUGAAACUUUUUUUGAUAUUUUACUCAUGAUUAGCAGGGAAUUAUGGAUAUCACAGGGGUACAGUGUCAUUUCUAUGACAUCGUAUCAAUGAGACACUAACAGUGUGAUUUAUCACUGUCGAUGUUGACCCUGGUCACCUGGCUAAGAUAGUGUACGUCAGUUUUCUCCACCGUAAAGUUACUGUUUCUCAACUUUCUAUACUGUAUUCUUUAAGGGAAAUCCCUAUGUACACCUAACACUUACGGAGUGAGAGGUUAUCAUCCCCUUCUUGAGGGCAGAGUGUCCACAUAAAUUAUUUGAAAUUCUCCUGCAUGGGACAUUUGUUUCUUCUCUACCAUUUGUUUAUUUAUUCAAUCAUUUGUUUUCACCAGAAUGGACUCAUGAACACUUAUUUUAGAUUUUUUUGCAGUACUACUUUUUAAAUUAUGUUGCUCAAAUUGUUUCAGCUUUGGGUAUUGAGAUGUUUUAAAAUUAUCUCCUGUGCCCUUCUGACAUACUCCAGACAAUGUAUGUGUAUUUUCAGUACUUUACUUUCUGGCACUAAAAGAUGUGCCAGGCUCAUCCCCUAUAUUUUCUGCCCUAAUCCUAGAAUCAGCUUUCUUCAAGAAGUUCUGGUUCCUCGUAUUGGAGAGUGGUGUUAGAAACCAAGAUCUAGGUGCGAGGUAUGCUCAUGGCUAGUAAGAAGUCAUUUCUUUUAGGGCCUGUCUGCUGACUGAGCAAAGAUAGACGUGUUUGUAUACUAACACAUCUAUCCAUGGAUAUAAGAUCUUAUGUUUUCUCUUAGUACCAUAAAUAGUAUUUUUAAAAUAAAAACUUUAAAGUGGAACAAAUAUACAGAAAAUGACAUGACACAAAAACGUAUAGUUCAAUGAAACAUUUCAAAGCAAUUCCCUGUGCACCACCAUCAGGUCCAGAGAUAACAGUAUUAAUAGAUAGCAUGAAUAACCUAUUUUAUCUGGUAUUAACAUAGAUCACAGAUAUAUAUUUGUUAUUUUUAUUUUCUUAGUCAUUAUUUCAUAUGCUCUUUUCCCUCUAUACUUUUUCCUGCAUUUCCAAACUUCCAUUUGGAUAAUAUUUUCUUUUAUUGCAGGACUGCUGGUGAUAAAUUAUGUUGUCCUGUUUGUCUGGAAAUGUCUUAUCUAACUUUCAUUUUUAUGGUUAUUUUUGCUGGGUAGAAAAAAUUCUGAGUUGAAAAUUAUUUCACUGUUUUGAAGAUAUCAUUCCACUGUUUUCUGGAUGCUAUUGUUUCUUUUGAGAAGUCAGCUAUUAUUCUAAUUGUUUUUUCUUCAAAACUAAUUGUCUUUCUUCCUCUAGCUUUUUGAAGAUUUUUCUUUUUUUGUGUUUGUUUUCAGGACUUUCACUAUAAUGUGCAGAAGUGUUAUUUUCCUUUUAUUUAUCUCCUUCUAUUUCUGCUGUGCCUGUUCUACCUAUGAUAGAUUUUCUUACUGCAGUUAUGUCUUUAUGACAUAAGGACAUUUCAUUCUAGACAUUUUCAUUCUAAACCUUUUAUUAUUUUUUAUUAUUUAUAUAUUUAGACAUUUUAUUAGACACUUUCUUCUGAUUUGUCUUCUGGGUCAAUAAUUCUCCCUUUGGUUGUGUCUAAUUUUCUGUUAAACCACAGUUCCUAAGUCCUUAAUUUUGACUGAGUUUGUCUAUUUCAGAUAUCCAUUGAUUUGUUUGUGAUUUUUAGUUCUCCGUGAAGGUUUGUAAUCUUAUUUUUCAUUUCCUUGAACAUAUUAAGACUAGUCAUUUUAAAGCUGAGUCUUAAUAAUACUGUUUGGAGCCACUGCAGGUUUUUUUCUGUUGUCUGUUAUCUCUUCUCGAUUUUUGGUAUUAAUGUCUUGUUUCUUCAGAUGUUUGGUUAUUUUUACUUCACAUUGAACAUUGUGUCUUAAAAUCUGUAGACUUCAUUUGAGGCCUAUGAUGAUGUUUUAUUAUUUGGGAAAUAUUUUGUUUUUGGAAGAUGACAUGGAACACUUAGCAAUCUCAACUUCCAUCAAUACAUGUAUACUAGCUUCUUAGCCUCACAGUCGCUUAUUCUGGAAUAUGCUAAUGCCCUAGGAAAAGUAGCCCCAAAUACUAUGCUUACCUCUCUAGGUUAUUUUCCUCUUCCAGCUUGGUCCCAUAACUCUUUAGGCCUCUCUCAUGCCUUUGAGUGGAUGUUGUUUGAUUUUGCAUACAGCUUUGGAGUUGCAGAUUUGGUCGGCAUUACCUAAUCCACUAUUAUCAGAAGCCAAUUAUUUCUUUUUAAAAAAAAUUUCUUUCUUGCUAGUAAACAGGAAUGCAAUUGAUUUUUGUAUAUUAACGUAUAAACCAUUAACUGUUCUCAAAGUGUUUGUUAGCUUAAUAAUUUCUCUAGAUUUGCUGGAAUUAACCAGGUAGACAAUUAUAUUAGUUAUAAAAAGAUAGUGGUUUUGUUUAUUCCUUUCCAAUUCUACUGUCUUUUAUUUCUUAAUAUUGUCUUUUUGUUGUUGUUGUUUUUGACAGAGUCUCACUCUGUUGCCCAGGCUGCAGUGCAGUCUCACUCACUGCAACCUCAACCUCCUGAGCUCAGGCAAUCUUCCCACCUCAGCCUCUAUGGUAGCUAGAACCACAGACAUGCACUACAAGACCUGACUAAUUUUUAAAUUUUUUGUAGAGACAGGCUCUUAUUAUGUUGCCGAGGCUGGUCUCAAACUCCUGGGGUCAAGUGAUCUUCCCACCUUAGCCUCCCAAAUUGGUUGGAUUACAGGCACGAGGCACCAAGCCUGCCAGCCUAUGAAUCCUUAGAUGAGCAUUAAUAAAAGGAAGGAGAAUGGGUAGCCACAUUGUAUUCCUACUUCUUGGUGGUUCUGCUCAUGGUAGUCCUCUAUGUCAUCGUUUGCACCCCACAUGUUGUGUAUAUUUUUCAUUAUUGUUCAUGUUUAAAUAUUUUCUAAUUUAGAGAAGGAAAUAAUGUUACAAAAGCCUGGUACAAACUGGAACUGUGGGAUAGUAUUGUAGUGUGUUGGGCUGCUAUAACAAAAGAUGAGGUGAUUUAUAAACAAUAGAAAUGUAUUGCUCACCCUUCUGCUGGCUAUGAAGUCUAAAAUCCAGGCACCAGCAGAUUCAGUGUCCAGUGAGGGCAUGUUCCUCAAAGAUGGUGCCUUCUGUGUAUCCUCAAAUGGUGGAAGAAACAAACAAGCUGCCCCAGGAUCUUUAUAAGGACACUAAUUCCACCCAUGAGGGCAGAGCCUCCAUGAUCUAAAUCCUCCCAAAGGCCUCACCUCUCAAUACCAUCACCACAGGGGUUAGGUUUUAAUAUCUUUAUCUGCAGUCCAACACUCUACCUCUGAGCCAUAUAUAAAACCCUCCUAGGUUUUAAUGCCUGAAUGUUGCAGGGCCAUACAACAUUCAGUCUAUAGCAGAAACUAUCGUUUUUUAAACUUUUUUAUUUAUGUUUUUGAGACAAGGUCUUACUCUCUUACCCAGGAUGGAGUGCAGUGGCACAACCAUGCAUGGCUCACUUGAGUCUUGACCUCCUAGGCUCCAGUGAUCCCCCCACAUCAGCCCCCAAGUAGGUGGGACUACAGGCAUGCACUACCAUGCUAGGCUAGUUUUAAAGUUUUUUGUAGAGACUAUAUCUUGCUGUGUUAUCCAGGCUGAUCUUGAAUUCCUGGGCUCAAGUGAUCCUCUUGCCUUGGCUUCCCAAAAUGCUGGGAUUCCAUGCAUGAGCCACUGCGUCUGUACAGGAGCCAUAUUUAUAGAAAGACAUUGCAUUGCCAGAAUUGUGUUGCUGAAGCAGGAAGGAAAUGAAGGAUGUAUUCUGACCUUUCUAUUUCUCCAUUCUCUAACUAUCUGCUAGUGACUCCCCUUGGUUGAUUUCAAUUUGGAAGCUGAGCUUAAUGAAGUCUGAGACAUGCUGUCUGUGGAGUUAGCACCCCCAGGACACAGUGCAUAGAAGGAAAGGCAGACAACAAAUCUGAGAUUGAAGAACAGAGAAGAAUAAGCAACUGUGCAACUUACUCAUAUAGCCAUUGGACUAAAUUUGUUAUUUAAACUGCUCAAUUAUUUUAUAUCAUUACUAAUUUUUGAGGGAGCUUAUAAUUUACUGAGAGAUGUAAAAAUUCCUCACUAUGUUUAUGGAUUUGUUUAUUUCUAUUUUUUUUAAUUUAUGCUUUUUGCUUUUGAGACUAUGUUAUUGGAUGUAUGCACAUAUAGAGUUGUUAUAUUUUCCACUUCCAAUGGAAAUUUUUAUCAUUAGGUGUCAACUCUAUUCAUCUCUGUACUUUUAUUGUCUCUAAUAUUAAGUAGCUGACUUUAUUUCAAUUUCUGUUUUUCUAUUAUAUGAUUUACCAUCCUAUGCUUAUUAAUAUUUCUCUGUUUUAGUUUUUGAGAUUUAUUUAUUUUUUGAGAUAGAGUCUUGCUUUAUCUCUCAGGCUGGAGUGCAGUGGCACAAUCAUGGCUCAUUGCAGCCUUGACCUCUGGAGCUCUCAGGUGAUCCUCCCACCUCAGCUUCCUGAGUAGCUGAGACUCUAGGUAUGCAUCACCAUGCCUGGUUAAUUUUAUAAAUGUGUUUUUUGUAGAGACAGGCUAUGUUGCCCAGGCUGGUCUCAAACUCCUGGGAUCCAGUGAUUCUCCCACCUUGGCCUCCCAAAGUGCUGAGAUUACAGGUGUGAGUCACCACCCCCAGCCUUUUAUUGGUUUAGAUAUGUCUGUGCUUAACAGCAUAUAGCUAUAUGUUAUUUCUUUAUUUUUUAAAAAUCCAGUGUAGCAUUUUCUUUUAACUUGAGAAUUUACUCCAUUUAUAUUUGUUGUGAUUUCUGAUUUGUAUUUAUGUAUGCCAUCUGCUUAUGUACUAUUUAUCCUGCCCUUCCUGUUUUUUUUUCUUUCUUACUAUAUCAUUUAAGUGUCCAGUCAGGAAAACAGGGAAUACCAUAUGUAUUUCACAUAAAGGGAAAUUAUUAUAAAAAUAUUAGAAGUACUAGAGGAGCAGAAAGGUGAGCAUGAGGUUACCAAAAAAUUAGUAACUAAAAGUGAUUAUUGUUACUCCUAGGGCUAAAGAGGCCAAAGAGAAAAUGAAGUUGAAACCAUGCUGUCUGCUACCUUUGACAGUUGCCACUCUUUUUUUUUUUUUUUAGAUGAAGUCUUGCUCUGUUGCCCAGGCUGCAGUGCAGUGGCGCGAUAUUGGCUCACAGCAAACUCCUUCUCCUGGGUUCAAGUGAUUCUCCUGCUUCAGCCUCCCACCUCAGCCUCCAGAGUAGCUGUGACUACAGGCAUGCACCACCAUACAUGGCUAGUUUUUGUGUUUUCAGUAGCGAUGGGGUUUCACCAUGAUGUCCAGGCUGGUCUCAAAAACCUGCCCUCAAGUGAUCCACCUACCUUGGCCUCCAAAAGUGCUGGAAUUACAGUUGUGAGCCACCAGCUGACAGCUGCCACUCUUGUUGCCACCAAAUGCUAGGGGGGAAAGUGAAUUCUCCUUCCUACUCUUCAGUCCGCACAAGGGCUUUCCACUGGCGUAAUUCAGCAGAAAGCCAAGUAAGGAGCCUGGUUUCCCACUUCUAUACUCAGGAGUGCAGAAGAAAAAGGCUUGUUAAAUAAAUAUUACCCACCACUCCUACUGUCUUUCAAAACAUUAAAAAUAUCUUAUUAUUCAAUUUUUAUUAUUUAGAAGUUAUGCAUACUGUUUUUCUGAUAGUUACUGUAGGCAUUGAACUUGCAAGACCUGAAGUUAAUUAAAUCCUUACCCUCCCCCAGUAAUAGAAAGAGCAAUUUGUAUGCAUCGUUAUCCAGUAUUUUGAUAUUUUUUCUCAGAGACAUUGUUUACAGAGUAAUUGUUUGUUUGACUUUUAUUCAAACUUAAUAUAAUAAUAUCUUUGCUUACCGUGCCUUCUUGCAUCUUGGAAGUGCUUUUAUUUUUGUCUUAAGUACUGACUUUAGGAUUUUCUUUAAAGAAAAUCUAUCAGUUUACCCUUUAAGAUUCAGUCUAAAAUAUAUGUAUUUUACUUUCAUUUUUGUAAGGCCAUUGCUUGGGGCAAAGAUUUCCAGAGGGACAUACUCUCUUUCUUUCAACUUUGAGAGACUCUUCCACUGCCUUUUGGCUUCUAUUGCCACUGCACAGAAAUCAGCAGUUCAGUCAAUUGCCCUUCCUUUAUGCUGAUCUGAUUUUUCUUUCUGCCAGCUUUUGAGAACUGUUUGCCUUUUGAAUUCUGUAAUUUUACUUUGAUUGAUCUAUUUUGUUUCUAAAUGUUUCUAAGGAUCCACUGAGCUUCAUUGCUCUGAAGAUUGGAAGCUGUUAACAGCAUUAGAAGAUACCCACCCACUCGCUGUGGCCUCCCAACGUGCUGGGAUUACAGGCGCCAGUCACCGUGCCUGGCCGAUUUUAAAUUUCCAGUUAUUUUUUUUAUUUCUAAAGCUUACUUGGUUAUUUUUAAGAUUUCCUAUUUCUUUGAUUAUAUUGUUGAGUUUCUAAUAUUUUAAAAUCCUACUAAACAUAGUUAUUCUGUAAUCCUUGCUGUAAUUUCUGAAGUCUGAGGAUUUUGCGUUGCUGUCUGUGUGGUUCUCAGUUUAGUACCUUGUUCCCGUGUAUGCUUCGCAAUUUUUAAAAUGUAUUUACUUGUUUCUUUUUAUUGUGAGAAGCUAAUAUCUUUGGAAUUUCACCUUUAGGGAUUCUUAAUGCCUCAGGUGAAGGUGAAUUUCUAUACUGGGGACUUGCUUUUAUUCUUCCAAGUGCUUAAGGUCCCUAAUAACCUGGCAACCAAGUUAAAAUCUCAGCUUGGAGUUUUUCAGUAAGUGGUGUAAAUGCAGACUGCAAACACACAUAAAAGCUGGCCAUGUCUUAAAAAUUCCCACAUCACAUGGUAUGCUGUGAUGUGGUUGAGAAAGACAAAGUUUCCUUAUUGUCCUUUUCUGCUUGGCAAAUUUAUUUCUCAUUUUUCUUAUAUUGAAGUAAGGUUCUAGGUUUAUGAGCAUGGGCUACCAUAGACUUCCCAACGGGGGCAGGAUCUGGGCCAGAACCCUGCAAGUGGUAUUCCUCAGCCUUUGUGAGCCACGAGAAAGGGUGGGGCUCCACCUCUUCUCCAUUCCCUUUGGCACCUGGGGCCCCACAUAGCCACCCGAGAAAGAGCCCAGGAGCUCCAGCUUUGGCCUAAGAUGAAAGAUACUUUUGGUACUAACAAGGAUUUCUGUUUCCAUUAAAAUUUCAGCCUCUAUGGAUUUUUUAACCUCCUGCUGUCUCAGCAAUGCAUUAAAAAACAUAUUUUAGCAUAUUAAGCACUUCAGUGUGAGGGUUGUUCAGGAUAUCCAGAAUAUCCAGCCUGCUAUAUUGCUGGAUAUUGAAGUCUUUUAUCAACUCCCUCCUGUCCAUUAAACAUUGAGUUCCUAGAGACCAGGGACUGUGAUUGAUUCGUCUUUAUACCCUAGGACCUGACACACAUUAGUGUAUACAUAGGAAUUAUUAUUUGAAUAAAUGCCAAAACCAAUCAUUUCAAGUUGAAAAA